AUGAUUCCGCAUGGUUUCAUUAUUAAAGGAUUCCGGUAAAGGAUGGGGAUGCGUUCCAUUAGGUUGUUGGUGAGGUAACGGCCCACCAAGCCUUCGAUGGAUAGGGGUUCUGAGAGGAAGGUCCCCCACAUUGGAACUGAGACACGGUCCAAACUCCUACGGGAGGCAGCAGUGAGGAAUAUUGGUCAAUGGGCGUUAGCCUGAACCAGCCAAGUAGCGUGAAGGAUGAAGGCUCUAUGGGUCGUAAACUUCUUUUAUAUAAGAAUAAAGUGCAGUAUGUAUACUGUUUUGUAUGUAUUAUAUGAAUAAGGAUCGGCUAACUCCGUGCCAGCAGCCGCGGUAAUACGGAGGAUCCGAGCGUUAUCCGGAUUUAUUGGGUUUAAAGGGAGCGUAGGUGGACUGGUAAGUCAGUUGUGAAAGUUUGCGGCUCAACCGUAAAAUUGCAGUUGAUACUGUCAGUCUUGAGUACAGUAGAGGUGGGCGGAAUUCGUGGUGUAGCGGUGAAAUGCUUAGAUAUCACGAAGAACUCCGAUUGCGAAGGCAGCUCACUGGACUGCAACUGACACUGAUGCUCGAAAGUGUGGGUAUCAAACAGGAUUAGAUACCCUGGUAGUCCACACAGUAAACGAUGAAUACUCGCUGUUUGCGAUAUACAGUAAGCGGCCAAGCGAAAGCAUUAAGUAUUCCACCUGGGGAGUACGCCGGCAACGGUGAAACUCAAAGGAAUUGACGGGGGCCCGCACAAGCGGAGGAACAUGUGGUUUAAUUCGAUGAUACGCGAGGAACCUUACCCGGGCUUAAAUUGCAGUGGAAUGAUGUGGAAACAUGUCAGUGAGCAAUCACCACUGUGAAGGUGCUGCAUGGUUGUCGUCAGCUCGUGCCGUGAGGUGUCGGCUUAAGUGCCAUAACGAGCGCAACCCUUAUCUUUAGUUACUAACAGGUUAUGCUGAGGACUCUGGAGAGACUGCCGUCGUAAGAUGUGAGGAAGGUGGGGAUGACGUCAAAUCAGCACGGCCCUUACGUCCGGGGCUACACACGUGUUACAAUGGGGGGUACAGAAGGCAGCUAGCGGGUGACCGUAUGCUAAUCCCAAAAGCCUCUCUCAGUUCGGAUCGAAGUCUGCAACCCGACUUCGUGAAGCU
rnacentral:rRNA from 1 species